CCGAAUAGGGGAGCCGGAGGGAAACCGAGUCUUAAUUGGGCGUUAAGUUGCAGGGUAUAGACCCGAAACCCGGUGAUCUAGCCAUGGGCAGGUUGAAGGUUGGGUAACACUAACUGGAGGACCGAACCGACUAAUGUUGAAAAAUUAGCGGAUGACCUGUGGCUGGGGGUGAAAGGCCAAUCAAACCGGGAGAUAGCUGGUUCUCCCCGAAAGCUAUUUAGGUAGCGCCUCGUGAAUUCAUCUCCGGGGGUAGAGCACUGUUUCGGCUAGGGGGCCAUCCCGGCUUACCAACCCGAUGCAAACUGCGAAUACCGGAGAAUGUUAUCACGGGAGACACACGGCGGGUGCUAACGUCCGUCGUGAAGAGGGAAACAACCCAGACCGCCAGCUAAGGUCCCAAAGUCAUGGUUAAGUGGGAAACGAUGUGGGAAGGCCCAGACAGCCAGGAUGUUGGCUUAGAAGCAGCCAUCAUUUAAAGAAAGCGUAAUAGCUCACUGGUCGAGUCGGCCUGCGCGGAAGAUGUAACGGGGCUAAACCAUGCACCGAAGCUGCGGCAGCGACGCUGAUGCGUUGUUGGGUAGGGGAGCGUUCUGUAAGCCUGCGAAGGUGACCUGUGAGGGUUGCUGGA
rnacentral:rRNA from 1 species